UGGAGACACCCUUUUACUUCUAACCAAACUCCCUUUCUCACAAAGAAGCUUACAUAAUUUGAAAAAUGCUUGUCUAUCCAUUCUUAAUUGUGACAAACAUUUUAUAUCACUUUCAAACACCAAGCCAUGCAAAUGGGACAGUUGUUGGUAAACUCUAUAAGCUGAAUUUGGACUUUCCAACCUUUGUUCACAAGAUAAGAAAACAUAGGAAUACAUAGCAGCACACACAGCCAUAAUCAUUUGCAACAUGACAACU
rnacentral:lncRNA from 1 species